UUUGUUUGACAAAACAAUGUUCUUUAUUAAUCAAUGAUUGGAUUAUGGUAAUCUAAUUAAUUAUCUCUAUAAUAGAGAUAAUAUGGUGGUGUUAACUGUUUAGAAAAUAAUGAUGCUUAAAACCCAAAAGGUUGCAAGAUAGUGACUAAUCCCAACUGAAGUUGUGAUACCUCUAAAACAUAAAUUACGAGUUGGUCAUAGAUGGACACUUUGGAUCGUGAGAUCCGGAUCCAAUACCUUCUUGUUAAAAUUGUAUGGAGGCGAAAUGUUCGAAUCUUUAUUCUUUUGGAAAGAAGAAAGAAUCACAAAGUUGUUGAGGUUAAUUCACUUAAAUGUUAGUGGCACUUGUCCACAAAACAUAAUACUACUCAUGUUGAAUAACAUUCACCGAAGAUCACUCUCGGUUGGACUAUAGUUUAUUUUGAAUAAACACAAGUCCGAAUACUUUGCAAAAUGUUUCAAAGAAAUUCAAGUAAUGUAAGUUGAUGAGUAAGACAUCUAAAGUAUUUACCUCCUUAGAUUUGAUCCAAGGAAAGGUAACACUUUAGAUAAGUUUCCUUGAAAGAUAUCAAGGAAAUAAGCAUCAUAAGAUAAUGAAUUUCUCCAUAAGGAGAAGAACGAACUCGAAUAAGAUUUAGUUCGUUAGAUGUUAUCUAUUACCCAUAUAUAGGAUAUAUACUU
rnacentral:lncRNA from 1 species